rnacentral:rRNA from 1 species
UACGAAGGGGGCUAGCGUUGCUCGGAAUCACUGGGCGUAAAGGGUGCGUAGGCGGGUCUUUAAGUCAGAGGUGAAAUCCUGGAGCUCAACUCCAGAACUGCCUUUGAUACUGAAGAUCUUGAGUUCGGGAGAGGUGAGUGGAACUGCGAGUGUAGAGGUGAAAUUCGUAGAUAUUCGCAAGAACACCAGUGGCGAAGGCGGCUCACUGGACCGGUACUGACGCUCAUGCACGAAAGCGUGGGGAGCAAACAGG